AGAGAAAGAGAGAAAAAUGCUUUUAAAUUAUCAUGCGAUUAAUUGAUCUUUUGCUAAUUGCGACAGGCCUAAGCACAACAAAUUCAAACCAGACAUAGAAAUUGCAAACAGAAGAAAAAAAUCCAGCAGAUAAAACACCCUUUGUUGCAUUUUACAGUUUAUAAAGGAGUUUUUCUCUUUGUUACACUACUUUAAGAUGAGUCACAAAGCAACAGAAACGGUGCGCGCCCCCAACGGCCCCCGCGCCGCAAGUUCAAAUAAACGGAAGAGAAUAUGCUUAAAUAAACUUUCUUUGAAAAGCAACAAAGGAGGAUUUUUUUUAUUUCUUCCUUUCUUUCUUUUUGAAAAUUUGCAAAGCCUCCCGCGCCAUAUGGAGGAAUGCUCUUUGCAUUACAAGCACAUAACAGGUCGCGUUUGCGCCGUUUGCAUCGCAUGCUGCAUAAUGAUGUAUGUUCGCACCAUGCUAGGCUACACCAGAGGCAGAAUCCCACUGUGCUACAGAUUAACAAAACAACACACACACACACACACACAUAAAGAAAGCCAAAAACCACUUAGGCUGUGCUCUCCGUGCUCCAGCGGCAAAGGCAACACCUGCUUAUUGAGAACAAUCGUCUAACUGUAGGGUACAUUUUUAUGGAAAUGCUCUCGCUUCCCUUGAGAGAGCCUUGCUUAGGGAUUACAUCCACAUGCUGGAGAAGCAGCGUGGCUCACAGGGCUCCCCGCGUCGAGAGCUGCGGUAUUUAACACACACCGAACGAGGAGGGAGAUGACGAAACGCAGCCUCCAUUUUGGCUCUGAGCAAUCACACACACACACACACAUAUAUAUAAAGGGGUGUGGGAUGAAGGGAGGGAUGGUGCAGCGGACUCACUGACUGACUUAUUGACUGGCUUUGGUGAUUGACUGUAUGAUUGAGCUCUCUCUCUCUCACACACACACACACAUACGCGUACAGAAAAUUGCCUGCAGUGUAUGAUAUAGACGAGGCCGUGGAGAUGCGGAGGAAACAGGCUGGAAGUGAGUAAGAGCGGAGCGGAGAGGUGGGAAAAGGGGAGGGCGGUAUGUAAAUCUGUGAAAUCAGCGAUAAUUACAGUGAGUGCACAAAAAGCCACAUCACAGUUGGCAGAGAUGGUGCUAAUCAUCCUGACACAGUCUGCACCCAGACACCCGACUCGUGCAUCCACGCGUGCGUAUAUGUGUGUGUGUGUGUCUGUGUGUGAGUCAUGGAGGAUAAAAGAAAGCAGAAAGCAAUGUGUGUGUCGGGGUGUGUGUGCGUGUGUGUGUGUGUGUUACGUUGCACAACAUGUUUGUGUCUGGGGUUCCUCUUAGCAUUGGCAGGCAGUGAGGCUAACCUUUCUCUCA